AUUCAAAGCUCGCAAUGCACCGUUCUGAAAACUCUCCAGCGUAGAAUUCAGGAACCCUGAGUUUUCUAUCUCUGUCUAGUUCUGGACUGAAUGGGCUCAAGUCAUCUAGUUAACCUCUCUGGAUUUCAGUCUUCUGAAAAGUGAAGCUAAGAGAUCUAGCAUUCUGCAGAAAAGUACUGGAGAUGACUCAGGACUGAAAAUGAUCAUGAAGCCCCUUUGCAAAUAUCAAAGUGGUGAUGAAGCAGUCAUGAACUUUGACCAGAAGCCGUGUUUUGUGGGAUUGCCACUUUAAUCGCUCCUGUUCAUCAUUAGGACUGCAGCCAGAGUGUGGAAGGAGGGACUCCAAAUAUAUAAGAAGAUGCUACCACACCCUGGGAGAUUGGAUUCCCCACUGCGCUGGCUUUCUCAAGCUCUGUGAAAUGUGAUGUUGGCUGGAACUUAUCAUGAAGAGCUUUGCUGUAAAACAGAUCUGGGGUAAAGUGGGUCUUAAAAAUCCUUUCUCUAUACAUCCAUGUAGAUAGAGACCAUCUCCAUUAACAGAAGAGGGAAUGAUGCCAUUCUUAUAAAGAAGCUGUACUGUGGGCACAUUUAUUCCUAAGUUGAUAGUAGCUAUUUUAACUAUGAAAAGGAUCUGCCCAGAUGAAAGAGGGGCUGCCUGUGGAGCACAGCUGGAUGGGGGAAGCAAGG
rnacentral:lncRNA from 1 species